rnacentral:rRNA from 1 species
GACGAACGCUGGCGGCGUGCCUAAUACAUGCAAGUCGAACGAGCUCUCCCAAAAUUGAUUUUAUGCUUGCAUAAAUGAUUUUUUGGAUUCGGAGCGAGUGGCGAACUGGUGAGUAACACGUGGGUAACCUGCCCUUAAGUGGGGGAUAACAUUUGGAACCAAAUGCUAAUACCGCAUAUGAAUUAAAACCGCAUGGUUUUAAUUUGAAAGAUGGCUCUGCUAUCACUUUUGGAUGGACCCGCGCCGUAUUAGCUAGUUGGUGAGAUAAAAGCUCACCAAGGCGGUGAUACGUAGCCGACCUGAGAGGGUAAUCGGCCACAUUGGGACUGAGACACGGCCCAGACUCCUACGGGAGGCAGCAGUAGGGAAUCUUCCACAAUGGACGAAAGUCUGAUGGAGCAACGCCGCGUGAGUGAUGAAGGGUUUCGGCUCGUAAAACUCUGUUGUUAAAGAAGAACAAGUGUAAGAGUAACUGUUUACGCUUUGACGGUAUUUAACCAGAAAGCCACGGCUAACUACGUGCCAGCCGCCGCAGUAA